ACACCUAAUGGAGAGUGGCGAAAGGGUGAGUAACACGUGGGUAACCUGCGUUAUGGUUUGGGAUAACCCGCCGAAAGGUGGGCUAAUACCGAAUAAGACUACAGAUGCUUCGGUAUCAGUAGUAAAAGAUGGCCUCUUCUUGAAAGCUAUCACCUAAAGAUGGGCCCGCGGCGUAUUAGCUUGUUGGUAGGGUAAUGGCCUACCAAGGCAACGAUGCGUAGUUGGUCUGAGAGGAUGAUCAGCCACACUGGGACUGAGACACUGCCCAGACACCUACGGGUGGCUGCAGUCGAGAAUCUUUCGCAAUGGGGGAAACCCUGACGAAGCGACGCCGCGUGAGCGAUGAAGGUCUUCGGAUUGUAAAGCUCUGUCACAAGGGACGAAAAGUUAGUGGGUGAAUAAUCCACUGAUCUGACGGUACCUUGAGAGGAAGCCCCGGCUAACUCCGUGCCAGCAGCCGCGGUAAUACGGAGGGGGCAAGCGUUGUUCGGAUUUACUGGGUGUAAAGGGUGUGUAGGCGGUUUGGCAAGUUAGAUGUGAAAUCUCGAGGCUCAACUUCGAAACUGCAUUUAAUACUGCCAGGCUAGAGUACGAAAGAGGGAGAUGGAAUUCUGGGUGUAAGAGUGAAAUCUGCAGAUAUCCAGAGGAACACCAGUUGCGAAGGCGAUCUCCUGGGUCGAUACUGACGCUGAGGCACGAAAGCUAGGGGAGCGAACGGGAUUAGAUACCCCGGUAGUCCUAGCCGUAAACGUUGUAGACUAGGUGUUGGCAGUAUCGACCCUGUUAGUGCCGAAGUAAACGCGUUAAGUCUACCGCCUGGGGAGUAUGCCCGCAAGGGUGAAACUCAAAGGAAUUGACGGGGGCCCGCACAAGCGGUGGAGUAUGUUGCUUAAUUCGACGCUACGCGAAGAACCUUACCAGGGUUUGACAUGUACCGGAUCGCCUGUGAAAGCAGGUUUCCCUUCGGGGCUGGUAUACAGGUGCUGCAUGGCUGUCGUCAGCUCGUGUCGUGAGAUGUUGGGUUAAGUCCCGCAACGAGCGUAACCCUUAUCCUUUGUUGCCAUCAGUUCGGCUGGGCACUCGAAGGAAACUGCCGGUGACAAACCGGAG
rnacentral:rRNA from 1 species